GGACUACUGGGGUUUCUAAUCCUGUUUGCUCCCCACGCUUUCGCGUCUUAGUGUCAGAAACCGUCCAGAUAGCCGCCUUCGCCACUGGUGUUCUUCCCAAUCUCUACGUAUUUCACCACUACACUGGGAAUUCCACUAUCCUCUCCGGUCCUCUAGUCAUCCAGUAUCAAGCGCAUUUCUCGAGUUGAGCUCGAGGCUUUCACGCCUGACUAGAAUGACCACCUACACGCGCUUUACGCCCAGUAAUUCCGAACAACGCUUGCCCCCUUCGUCUUACCGCGGCGGCUGGCAC
rnacentral:rRNA from 1 species